rnacentral:rRNA from 1 species
CAGUCGCCGCGGGAAAACGAAGGGGGCUAGCGUUGUUCGGAUUUACUGGGCGUAAAGCGCACGUAGGCGGAUCGAUCAGUCAGGGGUGAAAUCCCAGAGCUCAACUCUGGAACUGCCUUUGAUACUGUCGAUCUGGAGUAUGGAAGAGGUGAGUGGAAUUCCGAGUGUAGAGGUGAAAUUCGUAGAUAUUCGGAGGAACACCAGUGGCGAAGGCGGCUCACUGGUCCAUUACUGACGCUGAGGUGCGAAAGCGUGGGGAGCAAACAGGAUUAGAUACCCCCGUAGUCCCUGUCUCUUAUAC